rnacentral:rRNA from 1 species
AAGUCGAACGGUAACAGGAAGCAGCUUGCUGCUUCGCUGACGAGUGGCGGACGGGUGAGUAAUGUCUGGGAAACUGCCUGAUGGAGGGGGAUAACUACUGGAAACGGUGGCUAAUACCGCAUAACGUCGCAAGACCAAAGAGGGGGACCUUCGGGCCUCUUGCCAUCAGAUGUGCCCAGAUGGGAUUAGCUUGUUGGUGAGGUAACGGCUCACCAAGGCGACGAUCCCUAGCUGGUCUGAGAGGAUGACCAGCCACACUGGAACUGAGACACGGUCCAGACUCCUACGGGAGGCAGCAGUGGGGAAUAUUGCACAAUGGGCGCAAGCCUGAUGCAGCCAUGCCGCGUGUAUGAAGAAGGCCUUCGGGUUGUAAAGUACUUUCAGCGGGGAGGAAGGUGUUGUGGUUAAUAACCGCAGCAAUUGACGUUACCCGCAGAAGAAGCACCGGCUAACUCCGUGCCAGCAGCCGCGGUAAUACGGAGGGUGCAAGCGUUAAUCGGAAUUACUGGGCGUAAAGCGCACGCAGGCGGUCUGUCAAGUCGGAUGUGAAAUCCCCGGGCUCAACCUG